rnacentral:ncRNA from 1 species
UACCAUCGGUCGAAAAUGGUUAACUAAGGGAAGUCAGCUGAGGUCGUAGUAGGUAUCUCACCAAUAUCAAAGGAC